rnacentral:rRNA from 1 species
GACGAACCGUGCGAACGUUGUUCGGAUUCACUGGGCUUAAAGGGCGCGUAGGCGGGUUAUCAAGUCAGGGGUGAAAUCUUUCGGCUCAACCGGAAAAGUGCCCCUGAUACUGGUAGUCUCGAGGGAGGUAGGGGCAUGUGGAACUUCCGGUGGAGCGGUGAAAUGCGUAGAUAUCGGAAGGAACGCCGGUGGCGAAAGCGACGUGCUGGUCCUCUUCUGACGCUGAGGCGCGAAAGCCAGGGGAGCGAACGGG